rnacentral:rRNA from 1 species
CCUACGGGUGGCAGCAGUCGAGAAUCAUUCACAAUGGGGGAAACCCUGAUGGUGCGACGCCGCGUGGGGGAAUGAAGGUCUUCGGAUUGUAAACUCCUGUCAUGUGGGAGCAAAUUAAAAAGAUAGUACCACAAGAGGAAGAGACGGCUAACUCUGUGCCAGCAGCCGCGGUCAUACAGAGGUCUCAAGCGUUGUUCGGAAUCCCUGGGCGUAAAGGGUGCGUAGGCGGUUUCGUAAGUCGGGUGUGAAAGGUGCGGGCUCAACCCGCGGAGGGCAAAUGAUACUGGGAGACUAGAGUAAAGGAGAGGGAACAGGAAUUCUCGGUGUAGCAGUGAAAUGCGUAGAUAUCGAGAGGAACACUCGUGGCGAAGGCGGGUUCCUGGACAUUAACUGACGCUGAGGCACGAAGGCGAGGGGAGCGAAAGGGAUUAGAUACCCCUGUAGUC